UAACACUAACUGGAGGACCGAACCGACUAAUGUUGAAAAAUUAGCGGAUGACCUGUGGCUGGGGGUGAAAGGCCAAUCAAACCGGGAGAUAGCUGGUUCUCCCCGAAAGCUAUUUAGGUAGCGCCUCGUGAAUUCAUCUCCGGGGGUAGAGCACUGUUUCGGCUAGGGGGCCAUCCCGGCUUACCAACCCGAUGCAAACUGCGAAUACCGGAGAAUGUUAUCACGGGAGACACACGGCGGGUGCUAACGUCCGUCGUGAAGAGGGAAACAACCCAGACCGCCAGCUAAGGUCCCAAAGUCAUGGUUAAGUGGGAAACGAUGUGGGAAGGCCCAGACAGCCAGGAUGUUGGCUUAGAAGCAGCCAUCAUUUAAAGAAAGCGUAAUAGCUCACUGGUCGAGUCGGCCUGCGCGGAAGAUGUAACGGGGCUAAACCAUGCACCGAAGCUGCGGCAGCGACACUGUGUGUUGU
rnacentral:rRNA from 1 species